rnacentral:rRNA from 1 species
UACGGAGGGGGCGAGCGUUAUUCGGAAUUAUUGGGCGUAAAGGGCGCGUAGGCGGCUUGGCAAGUGGAUGGUGAAAUCCCUCGGCUUAACCGAGGAACUGCCGUCCAAACUGCUUCGCUUGAGACCGGGAGAGGUGAGUGGAAUUCCCAGUGUAGCGGUGAAAUGCGUAGAUAUUGGGGAGGAACACCGGUGGUGUAGACGGCUAUCUGGACCGUAACUGACGCUGAGGCACGAAAGCGUGGGUAGCAAACAGG